UGCAAGUCGAGGGGUAACAGGGUUUAGUUUACUAGAUUGCUGACGACCGGCGCACGGGGGAGUAACGCGUAUACAAUUUACCUUUUACAGGGGAAUAGCCCAGAGAAAUUUGGAUUAAUGCCCCAUAGUAUUAUAGAGUCACCUGGCUUUAUGAUUAAAGUUUCGGCGGUAAAAGAUGAGUAUGCGUCCUAUUAGCUAGAUGGUAAGGUAACGGCUUACCAUGGCGACGAUAGGUAGGGGUCCUGAGAGGGAGAUCCCCCACACUGGUACUGAGACACGGACCAGACUCCUACGGGAGGCAGCAGUGAGGAAUAUUGGGCAAUGGAGGCAACUCUGACCCAGCCAUGCCGCGUGCAGGAAGACUGCCCUAUGGGUUGUAAACUGCUUUUAUACAGGAAGAAACUUACCCACGUGUGGGUAACUGACGGUACUGUAAGAAUAAGCACCGGCUAACUCCGUGCCAGCAGCCGCGGUAAUACG
rnacentral:rRNA from 1 species